GGGAGUUUAGCUUAAUUGGUAGAGCGUGUAUCUUACAAAUACACUGUCGCGGUCCGAGUCCGCGAACUCCUA
rnacentral:tRNA from 1 species